GUACCUGAACACCUGAACGACGCCUGAACGACGGGAACCUCCGCUCCAAUGGGAAGACUAGCGAUGCUAUCGACGCGGCAGGCUUCUAUAAUAUAGUAAAGGAGGCAUUGACUUGUCAGUGGCUGCCACGAAUUGGCACCCGCCGAGAAGUGAAGCAUGCCUCGCUGCAGGACUUUGCUGGAUGAGUGAAAGAUGCAUGGGGCACGAUCCCGCCUGCCAUGGUCAACAAGGCCUUUAAAAAGUGCGGGAUUUCAAAUGCCACGGACGGCAUGGAGGAUGACAUGCUUUGGCCUAUUGACAGCGAUGAGGAGUUGUCUUGACAGCUACGACGAGUGACGAGCUACGACGAGUUUCACGCAACUUGUACCGUCGCAGUGAAAAUCUUGGCGGCAAGGGACAUCGGUAUCGAGGGACGACAUCGAAAUUGCCCAUCGCGGGCAAAGAAAGCAGUAUUCGUAAGCAAGGCGCGUAAGGUUCCUCCUUGGAGUUUUCUAGGCAUAUUAUUCUGUUGCACCUUUCAUUACGUUUGCAUCAUCAAGGCCUUCCAGCUGUCAAGCUGCAACAACGAAAAUUGAGAAGUCGCAUCAGGGACGCUGCCACCACUGUAACUUCUGCGACUAUAAGUCUAGUAAAAUUUCUAAUCUGAAAGUACACAUCAGGGUACAUACGGGCGAGCGGCCGUUUAAAUGCCAUUUGUGCCCUCGGAGCUUCUCGCAAAAGAAUACUCUCGAUGUACACCUGUGCAGUCACACCGGCGAGAAGCCAUUUCAGUGCCACUUAUGCCCCAGGACGUUUUCAUAUAGAAGCAGCUUUAAUAGGCACCUGCGCCAUCACAAGGGUAAGGGACCCUUUCAAUGCUAGUUGAGCUUUCGGAGCUUUUUUUUGUAAACAGGACACCUUCUCAUUUAAGAGCAUUAAAAUAAAAUAUGCCUUCAUCAUUACUAAUAGUGUAUUCUUAUGCAUAUAGUCAACUGCUGCAAAGUAGACUGCUGUCAGUGUGCGUGCAUAGCUUCCUGCUAUGUUUUGUGCGCUUCUUUACGCUUCCAUUGAGCUUUACUUGAUUUUAUUUGUUUGUCUCAUUUUGACUGUAGCUAUUGAAAGACAGCUGCCAUAAAAUAAAUUAUUCUUGUUCUGGCAA